GCUUGUCUCAAAGAUUAAGCCAUGCAUAUCUAAGAAUAACUAACAUUAUCUUGAAUCUGUGAAUGGCUCAUUAUAUCAGUUAUAGUUUACAUGAUAGUCAAUACUACUUGGAUAACCGUAGUAAUUCUAGAGCUAAUACAUGCGCAAAUUCCCGACUGUCGCAAGGCGGAAAGGAUGUAUUUAUUAGAUCCAACCAGCCCGGUUCGCCGGAGUCCCUGGUGAGUCAUAAUAACUGAGCGAAUCGCAUGGCCUUGUGCCGGCGAUGGUUCAUUCAAGUUUCUGCCCUAUCAGCUUUCGAUGGUAGGGUAUUGGCCUACCAUGGCGUUAACGGGUAACGGAGAAUUAGGGUUCGAUUCCGGAGAGGGAGCCUGAGAAACGGCUACCACAUCCAAGGAAGGCAGCAGG
rnacentral:rRNA from 1 species